UUUUGCCAUGUACCGCCGCAAGCCUAGUGCUAAAUUAUCUCAGUUGUUGGGAGGUGGACUCGAUCCCCGAAACCCUCCUCCAAAUAAAGCCAUCGUUCCCCCGCCCAUGUUUGGUCACAUCGUCCCCGCCCUGGCAUCCUGGUUGUUAUGGUGGCGGCUGGCGGCGAGGGGUCCGUUUGGGGGUCCGUUUGGUCCGUUCCGGUGCCCGGUUCAGGAAGGGCGGCUGCAUUGCCCAGAAAGGUUGGCGCGUGGGGAGGACGGCUACUGGAAAUGUUUUCGUUCGCGUGCUGGGUGCAUCGAGGCCAUUCUGCGCAGCACACCGCGCUACGGUGUCUUCCGCAACAAAACUGAAUAGGUACCAGGAAAAUGGUGUCGGCGGGAGAGACUGCGACGACGACAGGAAGCACCGCGCUGACAACGGCGGUAGCGACGGCGCAUAGCAUCCGUUGAAUGGUUUAGUAAUUAUCUCAUCGGUCAUGAUAGCAGAAAAGUGUAUGUUUUGUGCAAUGGUGCUUUUGCCGAGACAAUUUUGGUCAAAUACAUGGCGAACAAACCCUGA